CUCACCUGACCGGGACUGGGGGUGGGAACUGGAAUAGGUCGGCCCUGGCCGCUGUGCCCCUGGGCCGGGGCCGUGGGGGCUGUGAGAGGACAGAGCAUCUCCUGCCCAAGGCUGCAGUGGGAGAGCUGGAGGGUAAAUGCUGAAAAUAAUAUUCUGGGCUGAGGGCCAAGGUCAUGGCCAACGAGUGUGUCCAAACCAUGUCAUAAAUUAAAGUAACUAUUGGAAAACUGGGAGCUGAGUUACGGAGCCAAAAUGAGCGGUGCUGGGCCACAGAACGAGCCAAGAAUGAAGAGAGGGACGAAGUGCAGCAGACCACACUGUCAAAGGUCAGCUAGGCGCUGUGCUGGCAGGCUGGCCAGGCCCGGGAGGGAGCCAGGCCCCCGGAGACGCGGCAGGCAGAAGCGUGCUGGCUCAUCUACUAGAUCCUUCCAUCUGUUCCCAGGGAUCCUCCAAGUUAACUCUAACUUAAAAGCUCUUCACAGAUGGGCAAGAAAUUCGAUUCUUCUGUUAUUCUAAUCCCCAAACAAGCGAUGAUACACACAGAGGCAAUUUCAGGUUGAGUCAUGUUACCUUUCUCCAAAUUGCAGGCAAUCCCCACUUCUCUGGAGCCCUACAGCACAGACAGAGCACCCCGCCUGGAGUGCAGAGGAAAACCCUAGCAGCUGAAGAUGCUAAGGCAGAGAGGAAAGCCACACAGUGCGGACAAAUGAGCAUGCCUGAUUGACUCCAUUGAAACAGCGUGCAAUUCUUGAUCUCGGGGUAGUGAGUUCAAGCCCCAAGUCAGGAAGCCCGCGGUGUUAGCUCACGUCCAGUCUAUCUGAGCUGUAAAAAUAAGACAGGAGCCAUAGGAGUGCAGGCCAGUGACACUAUCGCUGUACCUAAGGACAACUCUGGGGGCUGCAGGUGCUCCUUGGCUUGUGGCUGUACCACUCCGACUCCUGCCCCUGUCCUCACAUGGCCUUCUUCUCUUCCCUCCAUCCUUCCUGUGAGUAUGUCUUGGAAGGAUACCUGUCACUGGAUUUAAGAACCACCCCGGUAAGCCAGGAUGAUCGCACCUCAAGAUCCUUCAUUUAAUUACAUCUGCAAAGACCCUUUUUCCAAAUAAGGUCACAUUCACAGCUUCCUGAGGUUGGGAUGUGGACAUAUCUUUUGAGGGACUGCUAGUCAGCAAGCUGCCGGUGAGAAAUCAGCCAUGCUGACUCUGGCCAGUUUGGGCGGGGGCGGGGAGGGGGGGCGCAUGGCGAUCUCAGGGAGCAAGGCCCAGGCAGUUCCAGGCAGGAGACUAGUGAUUUGCCCGUUGACAGGGCCCAAAGGUAAAUUAGUAGCUUAUAAUAAGCAGAUGGAGUGGGGGAUCCAAGAAGGGUAUGUUCCAUUUUUCCUAUUAGUUCAGCUUCUGUUUAUUCAAACAACCUUAAGUGAUAAAGAAGAUAUUUGACAGUUACUGGGGUGGCUCAGAGAAUUAACACAAGAGCCAAUGAUCCACUUCUGGAACCGACACAGAAUCCGGAGCAGAUGUUGUCGUUGAAUGCUGCCAUUUUCUUGAACUCCAUCGUGGACAUAUGCUGCUCCGAUAAUGCCUGAGCUCUCUCCCAGAGGAGAAUUGGGCUCCAAUCAAGUGUGAGAGUUGUCAGCCAUGGUACAGGCAUGACAGCUGUGAGCUGGAGAAGUCACCCCAGCGGGGGUCUGUGACA